GCAAUGGGUACUUCGUAAUAGCAGCACAGUGGUCCUCCUGUACUGUAGUAGUACUGUAGUAGUACUGUAGUAGUACGGUGACGUUGCAGCGUUUCUGUGAAUCAUAUGUGACAAUAGCAUUAGCCCUGUUAGCCGUUAGCUCAACACUGUACAUCACGGCCGACACCGGGCGGCUACCGCAUCUCCACCCGCCCCGGACACGUCCGGAUAUACCGGCCGAUCGCCGGUUCCCGACACACCGCCCUCCGGCCACCGUCUCCCGGUCUGUCCCCGUCCCGUCCGACCGCCCAACCAAAACAAACGGUUAGCGUGAUGCUAAGCUAACAGCACGGCCGUUCUUACCGUCCCGAAUUCGCUGUGAAACGACCAAAGUCCGCCUCAGGUCUCGCGGAACAUCCCCGGGGAACUCGGGCGGCCGUUAAACGGCCGUCAGACGCGGCGGAGGCCGCUCAUGUCUCCGGUCACUGCGGGGAAAGUGUUUCACAAAGUCCAGGAGAAGUUUAACUCGGCCUUUUUGUUGUGGAGAAACUGCUCGCACAGCGGUCCGCCAUCUUGUUUGUGUGUGUGUGUGUGUGUGUGUGCAGAAGUAAUCCGCCGAAAAGUAAUGCGAUAUACUCUUUGCAAGCGAGUAAUGGAACGUUACUGUAAAUAGUAUUCGUAAAAUAACUCGUAUGUGGUAUCAAGUAUCAGUACUAAAUGUACACACGCAUCCUUGGGUUCAUGUCGGCAAAGUAUCAGUAUUAAAAGUACACACUUCUCACAUACUCACCUUUAUACACUUAAAAGUAUCAAUAGUAAAAACACACAAGUAUUCUCAACGAUACGUAGUUAGAGUUUAGCAAUGUACAAAUUAAAAGUACACAUGCCCUAUAACUUCAUACGGUUGAAGAAUCAGUAGUAAGAGUAACCGAAGUAAAACAAACAUCUACUGUUGCUUCGUAUCGUUAAAGUAUCACUAGUUAAGAUAUCGACGUAUUGUCGGCUUCUUGGUCGACACGGACUUUUAUUGUGAAGGGACAGGGAAGUCGUUCUCUCACUUCCGCAACUCCGCUAAAAACCGUUUUCCCGGACUUUUACCUUGAAGGUUCUAGACGGUAAUGAUUGUUUUCAAGAUGGAGCCGGUUCCUGACGCUGCGACCAGCUCAGUGUUUCUUGCGCCGUUUCACGGUUUAGCCGCGGUCAAUCACGACCUAGGAGCCCUGGUUUGGGUGUCAUGAGAAGCCGGUCACCGUGCAGUGUUACCGGAUGCCUCGCGUGAACCGGACGACCGUUUUAACGCUGCUGAUCAUCAGCAGCUCCGUGUUUCUGCUGUUCCAGUUACAUUACUACCGGAAGUACGUCAGCAAGCAUGCGUUUCUUCUGCAGCAAGGUCCUUA
ensembl:lncRNA